rnacentral:lncRNA from 1 species
GGUAUGCACUUCACUUGUUUAGGAGUUAAAAUUAUAGCUGAUAAAUGGAUUAUUGUAUCAAGGAAAAACUAGGCAGAGUGAUUAUAAAUGACAAAAACAUGGUCAAAACAUUUCUCAGAUGUAUGCAGAUGAUAAUUACAAAAAAGUUUUAUAAAGAAUGAGCUUAUAUAUUGUCCUGUUUCUAGGAACAAGUCAGAUGAAUGGCUUUCAUUUUUAAACAGGGGUAGUAUGUGUUGGUCUCAGUUAUGCAUGGAGCUCAUGGAAUUAUUUGUUAUUCAGAAAUACCUUCUUUACAAGUAAUGUUGGAAAUGUUCAUCAGAAUCAUCUAUUUACUCCUAAACCAUGAUUUGGUGAAUUUGGCACAUAGGUGCUUAUAAAUGGAAUAGCCUGGGGACUUGUUUGAGUUACUCCACCUCCAUAAGAAAUAAAGAAAUUGCAGGUGGAUUCUUUACCACUGAGCCACCAGGGAAGCCCUUUUUGUCCCCUGACCAGGGAUCAAACCCACACCCCUGCAGUGGAAGCACGGAGUCUUAACCACUAGACCACCAGGGAAGUCCCUAGGAAUCUGUUUUUAAUGAACUCACCUCUUCACCUAGUUCUACUUGAAAGAACCAAGGUAAAACAGCUUGCUCAAUACACAUUCUCCCCCUUCCUCAUUUUUGUGUUCUAAUUCUUCUUUCCAUUGUGCUCAGUACUUCUUGCUGCAGUUCCAAGACACAGAGCAAAAACUUUCAAAAUCUUUUAUUUGUUGUUGUAUUCAAUAAAGAAUAUAAUUCAGCCACAGCACAUAUUGCUUAAAUCGGGUGUAUAAUAAAGUUUAUUUUAGGGAGAUGCAUGAAUUAUAUGAUCCAUGCUGGUAUCUAAAGCAUUUGAUUAAAAGAUUUUGAAUAAAAAGAAGUGUUCAGUAGCUCAGUCCUGUCUGACUCUGCAAGCCCAUAGGCUGCAGCACACCAGGCUUCCCUGUUGAUCACCAACUCCAGAAUUUGCUCAAAC